ACAGCACUGACUGGACAUGCAAUCAAGCAAACAUUAACUAGACUUUCAGUAAUAGCUACAAUGUAAAGUGCUUGUGUUCAUCUAUUCGAAGGGUAAUGACUUCACGAGAAUGCCCAAGGAUCAAUACUCACCCGCUUCAGCCCCGGAGCCCGACCGCACCUAGUCCCCGGAACCAGCCAGCUCUACCAGCCACGCCGUGCCCGGUAGUCGGUGUCCACUGACGCUAGCUGUUAGCAGCACUGCUGCUGCUGCUGCUGCUGCUGGAGGAGCCUGAGCGUUUCCAACAUGGCUGCAGCUGGUUGGGCUCACUGACAGGAGGAGAGAAGAGGAGAGGAGAGGAGAGGGGCCCUACGUGUCCACUGCUGCUGCUGCUGCUGCAGGGUCCCCCCAAUGUUUUUAUGUAAGACCCCUGUUUCACAUUAGCCUCCUCCAUUUAUCCUGACAAAUGAUGUCAUGGAGGGUGAAGCUCUCCAAUCUCAGUUUACUCCAAAUAAAUUACCUUGCACUGUGUAGCAGUGAUCAAAUUGAUGACUGUGAUUAGUGUCUUUACAGUGGUUAAACAGGGAGUAAUGAAUAUUUAUUAUCUCCUGCAGUAUGAGAAAAUAAUAUUGCCAGCUACAGUUUAAAUUUGAAUUUAAUGCUGUCAAUUAUGGCAAGUGUAGGUUCCACAACUGAAAGACUCAGUCGCCAGAAAUGUCCAUAAAAUCUGGGAAAACACCAGAGCUCACAUGAUGAUAAACCUAAUGAACCAGUGCUGAUUACAGGACACAGGAUACACACAUAAAAACAGCAUGAAACUAUUAUUCCUAAUAAAAAAUAUUGAUUAAAAGGGGACACAAGCCGUAAAAAAAAUGAUUAUAACAAUAGCGUAACAAAGUAAAAUUGAAUUAAAACUGGAGGUUACACCAAAGGGGAGCCAAAAUAAUCAGAGAAAGCCUGUGCACAGCUCCUGGGUGCCAAAAAGAAUAAAAGUUCCAGUCACACCAGGACACUCAGGUUGUCACUUAUUUUAUUAUCAGCUUACAUUUAAAAACAGUGAAAGAAGAGAACUACGUGUUUUAUAUCACUUCAGGGAAGCCCUUGGGCUGACACAACAUGGGCUUACUCGACAAAAUUACAGUAGCAAAAGAAAAUAUGUAAAGCACUAUAUACAUAUGUGACCAUAUUACAUCAUAUUUUCGACAUAAACAUUAAAAUAGAAAAUGUUACUGGGUUAAAGGAGCAG